rnacentral:rRNA from 1 species
CCUACGGGGGGCAGCAGUGGGGGAUAUUGCACAAUGGGGGGAACCCUGAUGCAGCGACGCCGCGUGGGUGAAGGAGCGUUUCGGCGCGUAAAGCUCUAUCUGCAGGGAAGAAAAUUACGGUACCUGACCAAUAAGCCACGGCGAACUACGUGCCAGCAGCCGCGGUAAUACGUAGGGGGCAAGCGUUAUCCGGAUUUACUGGGUGUAAAGUGGGCGCAGACGGGAAUGCAAGCCGGUUGUGAAAGCGCGGGGCCUAACCCUGGGACUGAUCUUGAUACUGGAAGGCUGGAGUACAGGCGGGGCAGGCGGAAUUCCUGGUGUAGCGGUGAAAUGCGUAGAUAGUAGGAGGAACACCGGUGGCGAAGGCGGCCUGCUGGACUGUGACUGACGUUGAGGCCCGAAGGCGUGGGUAGCAAACAGGAUUAGAUACCCCUGUAGUC